GUGCCAGCAGCCGCGGUAAAACGUAGGAUCCGAGCGUUAUCCGAAUUCACUGGGCGUAAAGCGCGUGCAGGCGGCCUGGUAAGUUGGAUGUGAAAUCUCCUGGCUCAACUGGGAGAGGACGUUCAAGACUGCCCGGCUAGAGGACGGUAGAGGGAGGUGGAAUUCCCGGUGUAGUGGUGAAAUGCGUAGAUAUCGGGAGGAACACCAGUGGCGAAAGCGGCCUCCUGGGCCGUACCUGACGCUCAGACGCGAAAGCUAGGGGAGCAAACGGGAUUAGAUACCCGCGUAGUCC
rnacentral:rRNA from 1 species